GUGGGGAAUAUUGCGCAAUGGGGGAAACCCUGACGCAGCAACGCCGCGUGAAUGAUGAAGGUCUUCGGAUCGUAAAGUUCUAUCAGCAGGGAUGAAUUUUGACAGUACCUGACUAAGAAGCCCCGGCUAACUACGUGCCAGCAGCCGCGGUAAUACGUAGGGGGCAAGCGUUAUCCGGAUUUACUGGGUGUAAAGGGUGCGUAGCCGGAAAGGUAAGUCAGAUGUGAAAGCCCGAAGCUCAACUUCGGGACUGCAUUUGAAACUACCUUUCUAGAGUGUAGGAGAGGAAAGUGGAAUUCCUAGUGUAGCGGUGAAAUGCGUAGAGAUUAGGAGGAACACCAGUGGCGAAGGCGACUUUCUGGACUAUAACUGACGGUGAGGCACGAAAGCGUGGGGAGCAAACAGGAUUAGAUACCCGUGUAGUCC
rnacentral:rRNA from 1 species